CCUCGGCCUUGGGUGGAUCAGCUGCGGAAACAUUUAGCAGCAAUAUCAGAUGCAAUGCCUUGAGAUUAACAAGACAAUUUAUCAGUAACGAACUAAUAAAUAACAUGCUUGACUACACUGAUCAAUUAUCAGUGGAUUCUUUAUUACAGAGUACUAUGCAAAGUUUAGGAUUGGACAUAAACAACCCAAAGUAUACUGCACGAAUCGCAACCGCAAGAGACAGUGACAGAGCACAGCAAAAGUUUUUUCCCCCAAAAAUAUUAGGAAGGUUCAAAAGUCCUGCAGAUAAAAUUAGUGCGCAUCGAAUAUAUGAUGAACGGAUAGAAGUCUAAUCCGUCCUGAAUCCCGAAUGUUAACCCAAAUCCACCAUACCUUCGAGGUAGGAGACCCCAAGGU
rnacentral:misc_RNA from 1 species